GAUGAACGCUGGCGGCGUGCCUAAUACAUGCAAGUCGAGCGAACGGACGCUAAGCUUGCUUUUCUGAUGUUAGCGGCGGACGGGUGAGUAACACGUGGAUAACCUACCUAUAAGACUGGGAUAACUUCGGGAAACCGGAGCUAAUACCGGAUAAUAUUUUGAACCGCAUGGUUCAAAAGUGAAAGACGGUCUUGCUGUCACUGAGAGAUGGAUCCGCGCUGCAUUAGCUAGUUGGUAAGGUAACGGCUUACGAAGGCAACGAUGCAUAGCCGACCUGAGAGGGUGAUCGGCCACACUGGAACUGAGACACGGUCCAGACUCCUACGGGAGGCAGCAGUAGGGAAUCUUCCGCAAUGGGCGAAAGCCUGACGGAGCAACGCCGCGUGAGUGAUGAAGGUCUUCGGAUCGUAAAACUCUGUUAUUAGGGAAGAACAUAUGUGUAAGUAACUGUGCACAUCUUGACGGUACCUAAUCAGAAAGCCACGGCUAACUACGUG
rnacentral:rRNA from 1 species